rnacentral:rRNA from 1 species
GGGAAACCCAGUGUGAUUCGUCACACUAUCAUUAACUGAAUCCAUAGGUUAAUGAGGCGAACCGGGGGAACUGAAACAUCUAAGUACCCCGAGGAAAAGAAAUCAACCGAGAUUCCCCCAGUAGCGGCGAGCGAACGGGGAGCAGCCCAGAGCCUGAAUCAGUGUGUGUGUUAGUGGAAGCGUCUGGAAAGGCGCGCGAUACAGGGUGACAGCCCCGUACACAAAAAUGCACAUACUGUGAGCUCGAUGAGUAGGGCGGGACACGUGGUAUCCUGUCUGAAUAUGGGGGGACCAUCCUCCAAGGCUAAAUACUCCUGACUGACCGAUAGUGAACCAGUACCGUGAGGGAAAGGCGAAAAGAACCCCGGCGAGGGGAGUGAAAAAGAACCUGAAACCGUGUACGUACAAGCAGUGGGAGCACGCUUAGGCGUGUGACUGCGUACCUUUUGUAUAAUGGGUCAGCGACUUAUAUUCUGUAGCAAGGUUAACCGAAUAGGGGAGCCGAAGGGAAACCGAGUCUUAACUGGGCGUUAAGUUGCAGGGUAUAGACCCGAAACCCGGUGAUCUAGCCAUGGGCAGGUUGAAGGUUGGGUAACACUAACUGGAGGACCGAACCGACUAAUGUUGAAAAAUUAGCGGAUGACUUGUGGCUGGGGGUGAAAGGCCAAUCAAACCGGGAGAUAGCUGGUUCUCCCCGAAAGCUAUUUAGGUAGCGCCUCGUGAAUUCAUCUCCGGGGGUAGAGCACUGUUUCGGCAAGGGGGUCAUCCCGACUUACCAACCCGAUGCAAACUGCGAAUACCGGAGAAUGUUAUCACGGGAGACACACGGCGGGUGCUAACGUCCGUCGUGAAGAGGGAAACAACCCAGACCGCCAGCUAAGGUCCCAAAGUCAUGGUUAAGUGGGAAACGAUGUGGGAAGGCCCAGACAGCCAGGAUGUUGGCUUAGAAGCAGCCAUCAUUUAAAGAAAGCGUAAUAGCUCACUGGUCGAGUCGGCCUGCGCGGAAGAUGUAACGGGGCUAAACCAUGCACCGAAGCUGCGGCAGCGACGCUUAUGCGUUGUUGGGUAGGGGAGCGUUCUGUAAGCCUGUGAAGGUGUACUGUGAGGUAUGCUGGAGGUAUCAGAAGUGCGAAUGCUGACAUAAGUAACGAUAAAGCGGGUGAAAAGCCCGCUCGCCGGAAGACCAAGGGUUCCUGUCCAACGUUAAUCGGGGCAGGGUGAGUCGACCCCUAAGGCGAGGCCGAAAGGCGUAGUCGAUGGGAAACAGGUUAAUAUUCCUGUACUUGGUGUUACUGCGAAGGGGGGACGGAGAAGGCUAUGUUGGCCGGGCGACGGUUGUCCCGGUUUAAGCGUGUAGGCUGGUUUUCCAGGCAAAUCCGGAAAAUCAAGGCUGAGGCGUGAUGACGAGGCACUACGGUGCUGAAGCAACAAAUGCCCUGCUUCCAGGAAAAGCCUCUAAGCAUCAGGUAACAUCAAAUCGUACCCCAAACCGACACAGGUGGUCAGGUAGAGAAUACCAAGGCGCUUGAGAGAACUCGGGUGAAGGAACUAGGCAAAAUGGUGCCGUAACUUCGGGAGAAGGCACGCUGAUAUGUAGGUGAAGUCCCUCGCGGAUGGAGCUGAAAUCAGUCGAAGAUACCAGCUGGCUGCAACUGUUUAUUAAAAACACAGCACUGUGCAAACACGAAAGUGGACGUAUACGGUGUGACGCCUGCCCGGUGC